AUAAGUUAUUCUUUGGGGACGGCACGGGUUUUAAGACUUGAAUUAACAGCAACCAUUCUCCUAGUGGUCAACCAGCCACGUUGGAAAAUUAAAAAAAAAAAAAAAAAAACAAAAAGGGGAUUGAAUUGGUUGAUUUCGACCGACCGCGGUCUCCUCCCCACCAAAUUGAGACCUGCGGUCUCUUUGACAUUUUAGAUAGGAUUUUGAUGAUGUGUUGUAAUUUUAUUAGUUGGUUGAUUUUAAUUUAGAUAUUAGCAUAAAAUUUUAAUAUAUAUAUAUAUAUUAAAAUUUAUAAUUUUAAUUUCUCUAUAAAUAGACCUUAUUUGUUAUAGUUAUACAUACCAAAAUUUCCCAUUUUUUGAAAUGGAUCCUAGAAAUUUUUUUGAGGAUUCUCAAAAUUUCUCAAACUCGCAAGAUUAUUAUCCUAAUAUUGAUAGCCAAGUUUUUUGAUCUGGUUCAAACCCUCAAUUUCCAUAUGAUCUCACUCAUGAAAAUUUCACUCAAGAAAAUAUCCAUCCCACAAACACAAACACCUCAAGCGGUCCGAAAGGUUGGAAUGAUCAAGAAGAUUUGACGCUCAUGUAUGCUUGGUGUACUUGUAGCUCGGAUCCAAUUGUUGGCACUAAUCAAAAUAAGGCCACUUUAUGGAAACACAUUCGAGCAAUGUAUGAAGAAUCUCGACUGACAACUCGCGAUUAAUGGGAGAGAAAAGAAGCAUAGAGUCAUUGAGAAAUCAUUACAAGAGGUUGAAUGCGAAUGUAACUAAGUGGGUGGGUGCGUAUGAGGAAGCAUAUGCUAGAAAAAGUAGGGCAUGUCUGAUGCAGAUGUUGAGAAGGAAGCACAAAUUUUUUAUGGACCAACUAAGUUUACGCACUAUGAGGUUUUUGAAAAAGUCAUGCGUUAUCAUCCGAAUUGGGAGCUGAAGUUGGGCUGAGCGUACGCGUGCCCGUGCAGUUGAUGAUGAAGAUGAUGUUGAAGAAGAUCGUGGCAGUUCCAAAAAAUCAGAACCACCGAGGAAGAUGAGAAUCCAAACAACUCCACCUCUAAAACUCUUGUAAGUGAAACUUCAACAAUCUGUCGUCCUGCUGGUAGAGAUAAAGCAAAAGCAAAAAGGAAAGGAAAAGCCAAAAUGUCACAACAGUCGAUUAUUUCUGAGGAUUUUACUGCAGAACUUCAAGCACUGAGGAUCGUACGUGAGAAGGAAACCGAUGCAAUUAACAGAAUGGGAGAAAUUAGGAUGCAAUCCACUUUGAUGAUGUCAAAAUGGAAUGUGCUUAACACGUUGCUGGGUAAAAACAACUUAUCUCCUCAAGAAGAGUCCAUGAAAAACCGACUUAUGGCAUAAUUAUUUCCAUAAUUCUAUUUACAUUUAUGUUUAUUUUAGUUUUCGUGAAUCUGUUGUGUGAUGUCAUUCCAUGUAAUUUCAUCUUCAGUACGUUAAAUUUAUUUAAUUUCAAUUUCAGUUUAUGUAUUUUGAAUCUAAGUGAUGUGAUUUUAAAUAGUUGUCACUACAAAUGAUUUAUUGUCAUUGGAUUCAACUAGAUAUUCAACAUUGGAUGCUUGACAAAAGUUUCAAUUAUUUCUGUUGCCCAUUGGCUAUACCACGUGAAUGACAUUGGAUUCCACUAAUAGUGGAAUAUGACAUUGGAUUCCAUUGAUAGCGGGAUAUGACAUAAAGAAGAAAUUAUUGUGGUUGGACACUAGCUACUAGUGGGAUAUGACAUAAAGAAGAAAUUAUUGUGGUUGAAUACUACCUACUCCACGUGAAUGACCUUGGAUUCCAAUAACUACUCCACUAGCAAUUUCUAUAUAUCUGUAGUAACAAGUAAUUGACCUCAUCACAACCAAAGCUUUCCCACAUAUCCAUUUGCUUGAUCUAUUGGCAUACGGAACAGGAGCAGACUUGCACGACGAAUACAUUCGAAUGAGCACACAAACUAUAAGAAAAUCAGUUGAAGAAUUCGUGCAAGGUGUAGUUCACAAUUUCGGUGGGGAGUACCUCAGAAGGCCAACCGAAGAAGAUCUUGCUUGUCUAUUGUAUGUUGGUGCUCAACGCGGUUUUCCCUGUAUGCUUGGUAGUAUUGAUUGCAUGCAUUGAGAAUGGAAAAAUUGCCCUACUGCAUGGGUUGGGCAAUAUACAAGAAGAAGCGGUAAGACAACAAUCAUCUUGGAAGCAGUCGCAUCUCAAGACUUAUGGAUCUGGCACGCAUUUUUUGGAACUCCAGGUUCAAGAAAUGAUAUCAAUGUGCUUCACCAAUCGCCUGUUUUCAAAGAUAUAUUGGAAGGUCGAGCACCAAAGGUUAGUUAUGUGGUAAAUGGUCAUGAAAAAGAUAUGGGAUAUUAUCUCACCGAUGGUAUAUAUCCUUCAUGGGCAGUAUUUGUCAAAUCUGUUAAUGGUCCACAAACUCGAAAACAUCAACUGUUUGCUCAACAUCAAGAGGCUGCUCGAAAAGAUGUUGAGCGUGCAUUUGGAGUUUUACAAGCUCGUUUCAAUUUUAUCAAACGACCAUGUCUUAUGUGGGAUCGUGAUAUGAUGGGAAAACUAAUGUUUGCUUGCAUUAUUAUGCACAAUAUGAUAGUGGAAGACGAGCGGCAUACUUACCUAAAUUACUGUGAUCCAACAGAAUUUAUGGAAGUUAGAAGGUUUAAUAGCCAAACUGGAGAUGUUGAAGCUAAUGAUGAUCCUAAUUUUGAAUUUUCCACGGAACGGAUUGCAAGUCUAGCAUGAGGAACAGGACACAACUUCGUUACAGGAAAGCUCACAAUGCUCUAAAAAUGACUUGAUCGAACACAUUUGGCAAAAGUUUGGUGAUGAUAAUUAAAUGCUUAGUAUUAUUUUUUUCUUCUAUUUCGAGUUUGCAUUGUUGUAGUUUAUAUUUUUAGUUUGUCGUAAUUUAAAUUUUUAUUAGUUUGUUUUUUUCCUUUUAAUUUUUUUGUAAUAUUUUAAUUUAUAUUUAAUAUAAUUAAAAUUAUCAUGAUGAAAAAUAAUAAUAAAAUAAUUAUAUAUAAUGUUGUGGUUGGGUGAUUGGGGUGAUUAUUGAUAAAUCAACAAAAAUAGAGGUGGUUGGGUUGGGAUAAAUAUAGUGAUGUGGAAGAGAGAGAAAUUAAUUAAAUAUUGAAGAUGGUUAGAUGGUUGAGUGAUUGGGUGGUUGCUGAUAAACAUAGCCUAAGGAAAAGUGGUAAAGUGUAUUGAUAGUGGAGAAAAAUAUGUUAUAAUUAGUAUUGGGAGUGAUGAAAAAGUGAAAAGUAAGAAUAAAUAAAUUAUUAUUAGUGGUCGGGUAGUUGUCCAAAAAUGGAAAGAAAUAAAGAGGAACUUAUUUGAGGGACGUUCCAAAAAGGAAAAAGAGGAACUUAUUUCAGGGACGGAUGGAGUAUUAUUUUAUUGAAUAAACACAAAUUUCAAAGUUUACGUGCCCAAAUAGACUCGAACCUAACACCUUUAAUCUCUUUUGUUAUUCAUUUACAUGCAUAUUAUUAUUAUUAUACCCCUCCAUUCCAAUUAAUUUGAUCAAUAUUUUUUUUUUUUCAAAUCGUCCCAAUUAAGUUGAUCAAUUUUCUUUAUAUGAAAAGAUUUUUUGUCACUUUUUUUAUUUUAUUUAUUAUAUUCGCUUUAUUAUCAAAUACACUUAGAGCAAGUGCAACAUCACUUUACUUUACUGUAAAACACCACUUUGCAGUGCAUGGCCCUCUCUAAUGACACUUUAGUUUCUGCUAGAUUUUGAAAUUUGUGAACAGUAACUCGCUUCAUUUGUCGGGGUAUUGUUUAUCACGGUAAGUAUAAUUUUUUAUUUUAUUUUUCUUUCUAUUUUCUUGUUUUAUUUAUUUUUGUUAUUCAUAUGAAAUACAUCUUAUUUAUCUUGUUUUAUGUGCAGAAAAUGUUUUUCUAUUUUUAAUAAUUGUAUAAAUUUUGGCUCAUUGUUUUUUUCCACAAAAUAUAUUGCUAUAAAAAAAUUAUUCAAAUAGUUCUUUUUAAUUAGCUAGCUCACUUAAUUAAUGAUAGAUGACAAUUAUUUAUAGUGACAUGAUUUUAUUUUUAAAAUUUUAAAAUAUAUUUCGUAAUUAAAAUGACGUCGUUUUGAAAAAAAAAAAAAAAUUUUGCUUUGAAAUAAAAGAAUUAUUUGAAUUUAUUUUUUAGAACAAUAUAUUUCGUGGGAAAAAACAAAAUGAGCUAAAGUUUGUAUUUUUCGAUAAUUCUCGAAGUUCGUGGAAAAAAAUAAAAUAAAUCAAACUUCAUGUAUUUUUUAAGAACUUUUAAAAUUCAUGGAAAAAAUCAAAAUGGACCCAAAAUUUGUGUAUUUAGCCUCGACUGGGAAAACUGCAAUCGAAUUUCUAGAUCUAAUUUAUUUUUGUGUUUUGGAGAAAAUUUUCCUAAAUUUGUAGAUUUGACUUAUUAAUUUUUUCUUUUGGAGAGAAAUUUGAUUUCACAGCUUUUAUCUGAAAAAUAAGAAUGCAAACGAGCGAAACAGAUACAAGCAUUCAGUUGCGUAGAGAAAAUUCGGCAUUAAAAUUGGAUCAACAAACCUGGAUGAACACUUUGCAUCCAACCACACACUCAAUCCUUAUUGCCCAAAAAUCACCAAUUCGUCGUCGCGCUCCCACAGACUCCAACCAUUUCUACCAAAUACUAAAUAUCCAAAAUUACCUAUAAAACCUACGAGAAUCGCGGCAACCUCAAUAGCUCUGCGCCGUCAACUGCCUUGGACGAUUACGCGCCAGCGACCAAACCGUCUGCCUCCGGCAUUAUCAACUACUACGAGGUAUUCAAUUCUCGAUUUUUGCAUAUACUAUACUUAAUCAUAAUCUAUUUUGAGGAGCUAGUUUCAUUGUAUAAAAAAUAAAAUUCUUUUUCUUAAGUGCUUUAAAUACUAAAUCUUGUGCAUGGUUAUGAUGAAAUUCAAGGGUAAAUAAGGGCAUCUUAAAAAAGCGUGAAAUUGAGAUAACUUCGAUAUGCAGGCCGAUAAAGCCAUAAGAUUUUAUGGAUUUUAAUGGAUAAUCAAGACAGAGGUAGAUUUACUCAUAUAAACUGGAAAUCAAUUGAUUUAAGUUGUUUCCAUUUUAGUGCAAUUGAAUUGAUGAUGAUCCUUACAUAGAUAACAAAUUCAAUUUCAACUUACUGAGUUAUGUUGGCCAAAAAUGGACAUACUAGGUGCAUUCGAGAGGUGGAGGCACAGAGAGCGGCAACUACCCAAAGAUGCCCAUGAAAAGGUUCGUCUCUGCAUUUAUCGGAAACCCACAACGGCUACUCAAAGAGGCAUGAUGAAACCGAAGUUCUUGAAUGCAAUGGUUCUUGAAAACAUUGUAAUGGCUAAAUGCUAACUUAUUAGUUACUAGCAAACAUAUACCAAACAAAACAAAAUGAUAAGGAGCUUGCAUUAACACUACUAAUCUCAAGUCUCUUUUAAAAAACACCAUUGAUCUCAAUUCUCAAGUAAUUCAAGAAUCACUAAGCAUUCAAGAUAUCAAUACUUGGAUAAAAAAAAAAAACUAGCCUGCAAAGCUCUUUUCAUAUUGAUCAUCACAGCAAACAAGUUCUUAUUCCUUCUUCCCAAUCCCAUGAGACAUAUUGUAGAUCCCUCUCCCCUAUCAAACGAGAGCACGAAAGAGAAAGAGCAGUUACAAUCAAAUAGAGAAGCAAGCAAAAGUAUCAAAUGAGGGCAGGAAUUGGCGCUUACAAUGAGACAGAGAGAAGAGGCAGCCAAAGCAAGAGGAAUGGCAAUUGAGGUGAUUUUGUCAAAUGGUCCUUUUAAAUAAGUGUGUUUGUGUAUGCUUUGGAAAUGCUUCUGCUUUUCGAUGAGCUUCUCUCUUGGCCUGAAGGGCGGCUCAAUCGUACACAUCCUGCACCAAUUUGAAGCUGUAGUUUCAUGGAAACCAGAAUAAAUUGUUGCUAAAAUCUCAAAUCUAUUUCUUGCGAAAUUUCCAUAAUAUUAUCAAGCUCUAAUUAGUUCCUCUGCACACAGACUCACUCAUUACCCUCCACAGUUUUGGGAUUUUUGGUUGUUUCAUCCCAAAUCAUAAGUUCAAACACAUAAAUUGGUCAAAAGCACGGUUGAUUAACUGAAAAAAAUAACUUAAUAAUUCAGCAUUAUAAUCCAUUCAAAUCCUUGUUAUGAGUAAAAUGAUAGGUGCAGCUAAUCGCUUCGAGAAAAAAACAUAUCGCUUCUUCUUCUUCUUUAACAGAAGAAUCAUAAUCUAACCAUCUAAACGAAAAGAUUUUUUUGCACCAAACAGUUUAUCGAUGUCACCGCGGCUUGAAAACAUUAUCGUAGUAUUCUCUAUUCCAGAUAUGCUUCAUCUUUCUCUCUCUCUCUCUCUCUUAAAAAAACAUUUUUCAUUUUAGAGAUCUUCAUCCAAUACAAGAUAAAUUGCGAAAGCGUACACACAUGAAAACAUCUUAUACAUUCAAGCAGAAAAAAUCUCAGAACUCAGAAGUUGAUAGCAACAGAAAAAAACUACUUGCCUUACUCCAAGCGUGAAAAUCCCCGAGCAAAAUUGCAAAAUAAUGAAGUUUGCAGAGUUGAUGAAAUAACAGCAAAGGAGAGAGUCUGGAGAAGUCCAGAACUUUUUUGUUGGUUGGGCCCUAUUGAAGGAUCUGUUUCAGGCUCAUGCCCCAAGCCCAAUUCAUAUUAAUAUAGUAGUAUUCCAUUUCAUACAUAUUACGUAUAAAUAUGCAUUUGAUACCAUCAUGACUUGAUAUGUUGUUGCUCUGUGUUAAAUAAGUACUACUAUCAUAUUUGUAUGAUAAAAGAACAAAUAUAAUAGAUUACCGAACCCUUUAGCAAUAGGCUCUUCAUAGGUAGUUUUAUUGAUAUUCUCAAAAGGAAAAAAUAGUUUUAUUGAUAAUGAGAUUAUCAGAGGUGGUUUUGAACACUAUGCAGGAUGGUCGAUCACACAGGACCUAAAAAAAUUAGGGCCUCAAGAAUAUAUAGAUCUAUAUUUAUUUUAUCGUACUAUAUGAUAACCAAAAUUCAUUAAAUUAUUUAAUUGUUUAAUGUAGUGCUAGCGGUAUAGGGCCCUAUCUUAAAUUUGCAGCAAAUGUUUGAUAUUUUUUUUAUUUACAUCCCGGCAUCAAUCCUCUCUUGCAAAUGUUUGAUAUUUUUUUUAUGUACAUCCCAACUUUAAUAAAUAAAUGGCUCUAAUCAGCAUCAAACUAUACGCCAUUUUUCUCUUUCUAAAACUCAUAUCUUUCAUCUUUUCUUUUCUUUUUGGCGAUCUUUCAAUUUUAGAGCAAGAUAUUUUUUUAAUUUUUUCUUCUUCCCAACAAUGAAUAAAGGGUCCAAAUUUAAGAAUUUACACAUGACUUACGUUAUCCUAGCUCCGCCCUUUCUGAGAUUAGGUUAUCAUAUAUAUAGAUAGAGAGAGAGAGGAAGAGAGACAUAUAUACUUUAUGUUAUAUGAGAGGUCAAACUAAUUUGCUUAUAAUAGAAACGAUUCUAAAAAGAAAAAUAUAGUUAGAAACUAUUCACAAAUUAUAAAUAUCAUUGACUGCUAUGACAAGUUUAUUAAAGUGUUUCAAUAGUUUAAUUUGUACAAAUAAUAUGUGCAUCAUUCUUCACUCGCAAUACAUUUUCAACUAACUCAUCAAAAAAAUACAUUUUCAACUAACAUUCUUAAAAUUCGUACGCACGAAAAAAGUGUGUGCGCUCUAUAAACCACAGAGAGUAUAAUACCAUUAUUUAUUUGAGAGCGUUUCAUCAAUAAAUAUUCAUAGAACGAGGUAUAAAUUAUAUAUGAUAUUUAAUAUAGGGGAUGGCUAGAAUAAAAACACUCUUAAGUGUAUAAAAUAUAAAUGAUUUUCAGCCCUUAGAUCAUCAAGAUCUACGGUUGAUUCGUGACCCUGUUGGAUGAAUUCGUUGUCCUGAGUUCGAAUCCCAAAGGUAACAAAAAAUUAUUUUUCGCAAUUCGUAACUCUGUUGGAUAAAUUCAUACGUGUUCUACAUAAAAUUCGUACAUUAAGAAACGUUUAUAUUUUAUACACUUAAGAGUGUUUUUAUUCUAGCCCACCCCACUUAAUAUAUUUGUCUUCUUUUACUAUUAGAUACAUGAAUACUACUAUAAUUGUUGUUUAGUAAAUUUUCUGUCGUGAUAAGGUAUCACACCAUACUUGCAAUUUAACCUAUAUCUAUGUUACGUCAUCGCCGCUCCGCACCGUUGGAAGGGCAGGAUGAAGUCUCUCUUGACGCUAUGUGUGAACGUGUCGGUGACAAUGUAUUGUGCAGUGAGGAGAUAAGAGGGGACAACGACGAGGCCUCGAUUCCUGUCAAUUUGAAGAUGUUGUGGUUUUUAUUUUAUUUUUAAAAAUGAUAUGGCGUAGAACAAUGUUGUUUUGUGUAUUUUAUUUUUAAAAAUAAAAUCAAAAUUAAAUAGUGGUAUUCGGCGAGCCAUGUCACGAUUUAGGAGGCCAAAAAAUAUUCACGAGAUAUGUUAGAUAAAAACCUAGUAGUAUGGAUUUUUGAAUUUUUUUUUUUAUAGUUUGUGAGGUUUUUGAUUAAAACGAGUAUGGUUUUGAGUUUAUUGUGAUAUUUGCUCAUAAGGAACUCAUAAAUUUAUUUUCCUAAAUGAUAAGAUUAUAAUUAAGAUAUAUUCUCAAUUAUAUUAUUAAAAAAUAUCCCAAUUUAAAAAAAAAAUAUGGUACUAUUAUAAUUAAGUAGGUAUAGUUGUAUAUUGCACUUGAGUAAACUUAGUAUUCUAAAAAAAACAAUACACUAAUGAGAAAGCAACAUAUUUUCUCCGUCCCACUUACAAUUGCAUAAUUUAUCUAGACACAAAAUUUAAGAAAAAAGUAUUUAGAUUAUAAAGUAAAUGAUACCAAUUGUAAGAAUGAGGUGUAGAGUACAAUGACAUAAUUUUUCUAGACACAAACAUUAAGAAAAAAAAUAGUAUUUCGAUUGUAAAGUAAAUGAGGACUACUUGUAAAAUGAGGGGUAAAGUAAUUGAAGACUACUUAUUUAGGGGGUAAAGUAAGUUGGAUAUAAAAAUUAAGAAGAGUUAAUAGUUCUAAUUAUUUUUAUUUUUAAAAAAUAUUAUUAUAAAUAGGAUAAACUAAAAUAAAUUAUACAAUUCUAAAUGGGACAAAUCGAGUACUUACCUUAGCAACGUAUAUGCCCAAGGAGAUUGAUCUAAUAAAAUCAGACAAAAAGCGAAUGUGUAAAAGUAGUUAAAUUUAUAGUUAGAUUAGUGGAUAUUCUAUAUCUCUCAAUAAGCCCAUAAAAUAUUUCGGAGAGCCCAAGCCCAAUAUUUGAAAGACCAACACACAUUUUAUUGUAGAAAAAUACUACUACUCCGCAAUGGCGGCGCUGCACCUAAAUAUUUUACUAACAUUCAGAAGUUAGAACUCACAAACACCACACUCUCUCUCCCCACCAAAACAAUGGCGGCCGCUGUAGCGAUCUCAACACCACCCACUUUCAAUCUCUCCUCCUUUCCCUCCCGAAACCCUAAUUCGUCUUCUCUCUCCCACCUCAAGCUCACCUCCUGCAAUGUCAAUCUAUCAAUCUCCUACUCCCAAUCCCUCAAGCUCGACCGCAAUUCCCGAUUCGUAACCGCCGCCGCCGCCGCUUCCCCGUCCUCGGCCUCCCCCGCCGCUAACGCUACCAACUCAUUCCACGGCCUGUGCUACGUCGUCGGAGACAACAUCGACACCGACCAAAUCAUCCCCGCCGAGUACCUUACCCUCGUCCCUUCCAACCCCGACGAGUACGAAAAGCUCGGCUCCUACGCCCUAAUCGGACUACCCGCCUCAUACGGCGCCUGAUUCAUCGACCCCGGGGCCACUAAAACCAAGUACUCAAUCGUGAUUGGCGGCGAUAACUUCGGCUACGGCUCGUCCCGUGAGCAUGCUCCCGUGGCGCUGGGAGCAUCCGGCGUGGCGGCUAUGGUAGCGGAGUCGUACGCCAGGAUCUUCUUCAGGAAUUCGGUUGCCACUGGAGAGAUUUAUCCGUUGGAAUCGGAGGGGAGAUUGUGCGACGAGUGUACGACUGGGGAUGUGGUGACUAUCGAGCUUGGUGAGAGUAAGCUCAUCAAUCAUACCACGGGGAAAGAGUAUAAGCUGAAGCCAAUCGGGGAUGCCGGCCCUGUCAUCGAGGCCGGUGGGAUCUUCGCAUAUGCCAGGAAAGCUGGGAUGAUCCCUUCUCGCGAUGCCUGAAACACUUUUCCGGUAAGUAAAUUCGUUGCUUUGCAAUCUGUUCUUGUUGUGUAGCUCUAUUUUUUGUUGUGCAAUAAAAAGUGGUCAUUAUGGUUUUUGUGUUUAUUGCAUUUAGUACUUAUGUUGACAGGAUAUAUAUUUCGAUGAAAAGAGUUUUUCUUGAUUGGUUAAGAAUUUGAUUCUCCUCUUUAAAGUGUUUAGAAUUUGAUUCUCCUAUGUAUGAAAGUUUAAUAUCUACCACAAAAUACAUAAAAUUGACUUCUAUUAGUUUCUUAGGCAUCAUGCUUAUAAGGAAGAUCGUAUAAACAGAAAUUAAGUUAAAGCAUUCGCCAUUACGAAGGAAACAGACGACUAGGGUAACAUGCCAAGUAGUGCCUGUUUUCGAAAAAAAGGUUGUAAAAUGAGGGUGAUGACAUGUUUUCAGCGAUUUUGGUUAUAGUAUGUACCCUUCAUUGCUACUUCACUAAGCACAAAUUAUCAGUACCAAAAAGGUUAAUGGAUUAGUUCUGAAGCAGUAGAAUCUUCGGUUAUUCAGGCUGUCUGUAAGAGAAGAGGAGGAAUUGCUCGAUUAAGGAUCAUGGUCUUGAUUUGGGUGUUAAAGUCUAAAGGAUUCGAAGAAAAUUAUGUAAAUGAUGUAUUUCUUUUUUACUGGAGUGUGGUACUUAAAAUUGGUCGGUGCAAGAUGUGAUAUUGGAUGGAUAUCUUGCCUUGGUUUAUGAACAAAAUUUUGGUAUCAAAGUAGAAAAUGUUAUCCUUGGAGGUUGUUGGGGAAAUUUGGGGCUAUACUACCAGUCUACCAUUUUGAAGUGCAUCAAGUUGCCAAGGCUGCUAGUGCACCAAAUUGAAUUGAAGCACAAAUAUGUAAAACUUGACAUAUAAAUUUGGAGAAUGUGUGGUACAUAAAACAUUAACUUAUCUUCAUAUAUAUAAAUCUCACAUAAUGUAGAGGAUCAUGUUAGCAUGUGACAUAACAGAAUAGAAUAGGUAUGGAUACAGGUACCGUUGAUUAACAUUACCAAUAAGAAUGUUGUACAACAAAAUGUAUACAUCUCUUGCCUCAGCCUUGAAACUUAACGAAAAAUUGGGCUCACAAUUCCGGCCUUGUGGGUGAAGAGCAACAGUAAGCACUUUGUUGUGCAUCUUCUACAACUAGGAGUUUAAAUUGGUUGGUAAAUCCUUUUAUCAGAUGCCAUGUUUGUCAAUUGUUUAAUUGUUUUGAUGCAGGUAUCAUCGCAUCCUGGCUUCUUUAUGAGUCUUGAGAAGAGGCAAUUGACAUUGUGAAGAAUAAUGUGUACUUGUAGUGUGAUAGGUGAUGCAUGCUUCUUUGUGUUGCUUUAGAUUUAGUGGUUGAAUCAAAAACUUAUUAUCUGUGCUGUGCUGUGCUGUAUUGAGAUCAAGUUCCUGUAAGGCUGUUUGCUGCAUUAAACAAUCACGUUUGCUUCGAUUUCUUGCCCAUCUUCUCAUUCUACCUCAAUUUUUCCAUUAGAUUUUCACACUUACAUUGAUCAGAAUUUCUUCUUCCUCGAUGGACCCUUUUCAUUUAACUAGUGUUACACUCGCACUAGUUUACAACUUUUAAGUUCUACAUAUGUACGAAAUUUAAUUACAAAAGCAAAGAGCAACAUUUUAACAAUACAAAAUAAAAUGUACUCCCUUCGUCCACGAAAAAGAGUCUCAUUUGGGGUUCACGGGUUUUAAGAAAGUUGUUCAAAUAAAUGUAAGUGGAGUAAAAGUAAAUUUAUAGGGGUAGUAUUACUGUAUUAGUGACACUUUUAAAUUUCUUAAUCCUAAAUUAACUUUUGAAGUUAAUAUUUAUUAACUUUAAUGAUAUUAUUCCAUUAAUUAUCCCACAAUUUAAUUUUUCUAUCUUAAUUCAUCCAGUUUUCGAUUUAUUCAAUUUCUUCAUACUUCAAUUCCAAUUCAUUCAGACUUCAAUACCUAGUGAUUGCAUCAAAAAAAGAUUACAAACUUCAAAUUCAGAUUUCCAAAACUAAAGAAUACUGGUGGUGGUGGCAUAAAAAAAAUUAACGACCCUCAGUGCCAUCAGUUGGGCAAAGCAUCAAUUGCAUAUUAUCCACAAAAAUAUGGUAUCACUAGCCCCCAACACAAAACCAACAGAUUAUCCACCACAUCAAACACAUUGUAAAAAAUAUGGCCUAACCAGCCCUCAUCACAAAACCAACAGUUUCAACCCGCAAAGUUGUUUGGUCGGCGUUCUUCAUCGUCGAUGAAAUCAUCCACGGCCAAAUCCUCCAAAGGCAGAGGCGUUUCGGGCACCACCGUAUCCACCUCCGAAGAUCGGUGAUUCGACCGAAGAGGAAUUCGUCAGAGGCGAUUUGAAGGAGGCAACGCCUUAGGGUUUCGGGCUCAGAUGGAGGCGGCAAUUUGGGGUUUCGGGCUCAGAAGACGGCGAUUUAAGGGAACAGCGAGGGUUGUCGUUUUUAAAUUUAAAUUAUUUAAAAUUUUAGUUGUUUUCCUAAUACAUAAGUUAUUUUUUAAAUAUAUAAGUUAUUUUAUUCACAACAAUGUAAUAUAUUUACUAUUUUCUUGUAAAUAAUUGAUGUUAAUUAGAUACUUGAUCUAAAUAUUACUAAUUAUAGUAUAAAAUAUAAGACAUAUAAUUAAUAAUCUUAUGUUUUUAAGAUAAAUCACUUAACGAGCUUGUUCACGAGCUAACGAGCCGAGUAUCGUCAUGUUCAAGCUUGACUCGUUUAGCUAAACAAGCUGCUCAUUAAAUUACUGAUCGAACUUUUAUCGAGUCGAACGUUGAAUAGCUCACGAGUAACUUGGCUCGUUUACAGCCCUAUCUAUGAAUGACAAAUAAAGUAAAAAUGGAAGUCAAAAAAGAUAAAAUUGUAUAAAAAGUGAAACAUGCUCUUUUUCAUGGACAAAAAAAAGGGAAACAGACUCUUUUUCGUGGACGAGGGAGUAUAAAACAAAAUACUAAAUAUCUCAUAUAGUAAAUUUUGAAAGAAAAAAAAAUACUUAUAUUCUCAAUAAACCUACAAUCUUUAUCAUCACCACAAAUCAAAUUUGCAAACCUUAAGGAUCAAGAGGAUAAUGAUUUUUUUUUAAAAGAAGAUCAAUACUGGUUUUCCAUUUUUUUCUUUAAGUAACUUGAACCUCUGACCUAUUGAUUGGAGGGAAAUAUCUUAUUUACUGAGUUGCGCUUUGUUGUCGAUUAAGAGGAUAAUGUUACCACCAAGAAUAAUCAAUAUUUUUAAACUCAGAUCAUGCAAUGAAUGGAUCAUUUAAUUAGAUCACUAGAUUACCGAUUCAAUUGAUUAAAUCGUUUUGAGAAAUUUGAAUGACAUGUUAAUAUUGUUUUUGUUUAUAUAUACAUAUAUAAUAUUGUAUUAAUAGACAAAAAUGUCAUAAUUUUUAAGUUAUAUACGCAAUAGAGGGAUUAGGCUAAAUACAACUCUUAGAUUAUAAAAUACAUAUACAUCAUUGAUCUAUCUAUAAUUUAACGAUUGAAAUUUAAUCUUAGAGAAAUCGUAUGAAAAUGUAUGAAUUUUAUGUAGAACACGUAUGAAUUCGCUGUGUAAAUGUUUAAAGUCUGAAAAUUUUACCAUGAAUUCAUCAAACAAAGUGACGAAUCAACUGUAGAUCUUGAUCAUCUAAGAGCUAAAAAUGGUUCAUAUUUUAUAUUUUAAAAUGUGUUUUUAUUUUAGUGUCCUCGUAUAUGCAAAAUGUCUUCUUUUAUAAACACAUAUUUUUUUAUACCCAAAUUAAGUGGAUGGACUUAAAUACCUUUAGAUGUCGAUGACUUGUUUUAUUUUAUGUGAAAGGUUUUACAUAUUUCUUAUAUAAGUACGAUUGUGCCGAAAAAUAUUACAAUUUGACAGCUAUCAGUCAAAAGUUUAUUUAAUUGGUGGCCAAAUAAUCUAGUCGUCCGGACAGUGAGAUGAUCUAGCCACUGGUUAGAUGGACUUUUGAUUGAUAACUGUUAAAUCUUUAUAACUUUCAGAAGGUAUAAGGUAUUGCUCCAAAGUAUAAUAAUGAUUGAGAUAUUAAGAGUAACUUAUUCAAUUUGAGCAUAAAUUACUUGUGUUUAUAAAAGAAGACAUUUUUUCAUAUAGAUCUAAUGAAUGUGAGUAUUUUGAACUUUCACUCUAUAGUGUUUAUCUUUUACAAAAAUUUUGAAUUUUAAUAAAAUAAUAAAUGAAAAAAAUAUUUGUGUUUCUAUCCACACUUUUCUAUCUUUUUUAAUAUUUUUCUAACUGCUUGCGCUGUAUUUUAUUCAACCCCCUCAAUGCUAAUUUAUUCACCACAAUAAAAAUAAGGGUUGAUAGCAUUGUAUGUCCCGAACUUUCAGUCUUUUUCAUAAAAUGUCCCGAACUUUCAUUUUCUCCUAAUAAACCUCGAACUUUCAGUUUUUUACGUAAAAUGUUAUGCUUCUGAUGACAAAAAGAUGACAAAAAACUACAAACUUUCAACGUUUUCUAACAACGAUGGUUCCUAAUAUAUUUUUUCAACAAUGACAGUCCCCAAAGUUUUCAUUGGGCGAGAUAAAUCAUCUUUCUGUCACCGAAUAUUAGAUAGUGGAACAUUUUAUGGAAAAAAAAAUUCGGGACUUUUUAGGGAAAAAAUAAAGUUUGGGACAUUUUAUGAAAAACGUUGAAAGUUACUGACACAAAACACUAUUAACCCUAAAAAUAAACAUAGCUUCUUCUUUUCUUUUUUUUUCCAAAUUUUCAAAAAUGCAUUUCUUUUUAAAGACAAUCAUUUUAUUUUAAGUUUAUAUAAAUAAUUCCAAUAUAAAAAAACUUGUUAGCUCAAAUGAUUAGAAGAGACAAAGAAAUAAAAAAGACCCAAUAUAAAUAUACUAAUACAAGAGCAUUUGUAUAACGCGGCUCGAACCCAUCCUCAACGAGCCCCAUCACAUUGCUGAGUCAAGGAACUCGAUAGAGGGCUCAUUCUGGCGAGCUGGGCGAGAGAGUUUAUAUAUAACACUUGCCUUUUAAUUUUUCUUUUUUAAAUUUCACCGUUGCAUUUUUUUUUAAUUUAAGAAGAUAAGCACAUACAAAAUCAAAUUAAUGUACUAGUUUUUUCUAUAGUGCAUUUGCACAUUAUAGAGUAGCCUACAUUUUUCAAUGUAAAAUUUAAUAAAUAAUUAAAUUAAUGUAGCUUCUCUUUGUAUAGUGCAUUGCAUUAUAGAGUAAUCUACACUCUUCGAUGUGAGACUCAAAGUAUAUGUUUUCAAAUAGAAUAUCAAUUUUGAUUAUAAUAAACCUUGCUUCGACGUGGGUCUAUAAUUUUAAAAUUGCAAAAAGUUAAAUUCGAUAUAUAAAUACAAACAAAUGUCUAUUAUUGUAAUUUUUAAAUUGCAAAAGGUUAAAUUUUGACUUGAAUACAUACAAACAAAAUCAAAUGCAAUAAAAAAUAUAUAUAUUUCAAGUGUUUUAUAAUACAUAUAAUUUUUAAAAAAAAUGUUUAUUAUUGUACUUUUUAAAUUUUAAUUUAAUAAAAUUUUCGAUGAUUAGAUUAUUUAAAAUUUAAUUUUAAAAAGUAUGAUGAAAAUUCUAUGGAACCCUUCUAUAGAGCUUCGGUUAUAGUAGGCUAAUGCUCAUAUAUUCUAUUAUUAUCUAUAUUUAUUAUUAUUAUUAUUAUGUAAAUAUCCUACAUCACUCAAUUCUUCUUCUUCUCUCUCCAUCUUCUCACUCGCCGGUUCUCUCUCUCAAAGAAAAAUCGGGAUAUCUCUCUGCCUCUUUCUUUCUUGCUCUCGCCGCCUCCCCUCCCUUCCUACGAACCGGCGUCUCUUCGCCUUCGACCGCCACCACACUCAUCUCUCUAUCCAAUUUCUCGCUCAACCCCCCACCGCUUGCUCUCCCUCACUUAUCUCGGAGACAGAUUUCAUUUCUCUUCAAUAAAUCAUAAGAAGCCCAACCAUCCAAACAGAUACGACCAUUCAGUUGCAGAGACAAACUUCCGCCAUUAAAAUCCGAUCAAUGAACACUUUGCACACAACCACUCUCUCAAACCUUAUCUCCCAAAAAUCACCAAUUCGCCGUCGCGCUCCUCUCCGCUCCCACAGACUCCAACCAUUUCUACCAAAUACUAAUUCAGCUGAACAUCCAAAAUUAUCAAUAAAACCUACGAGAAUCGCGGCAGCGUCAAUGGCUUCCACGCCGUCAACUGCCUUGGACGAUAGCGCGCCGGCGAGCAAACCGUUCUCUGUUCUGUUCGUCUGCCUCGGCAACAUCUGCCGGAGCCCGGCGGCUGAAGGCGUUUUCCGGCACCUCGUUAAGGAAAGGGGCCUCGAUUCCAAAUUCUACAUUGAUUCCGCCGGCACUAUCAACUACCACGAGGUAUUCAAUUCUUUGCAUAUACUAUACAUUUUUUUUAAACGAAAGAUAAACCCUUGCAUAUACUAAUCAUAAUCUAUUUCGAGGAGCUAGGUUCAUUGUAUAAAAAUUAAAAUUCUUUUUCUUAUGUGCUUGAAAUUACAAUGAUAAUCACAAUGUAUUAUUCUUUGUGUAAUUUCAUUUUUCUUUGGCUUCUGUUUGCAAUUUUUUAUCUAAUUUAGUUUUAAUACUUAAGAGUAUCUAUUCAAUCUUUUAUUAUUUUCACAUAACAUGACAUACAUUUUGUAGAUAAAGAAUGAAACAUAGACAAGAAGCAAAGACGCAAUUUCAUUUUUGAGAAGUGAUUGGAUUAAUUUUUUAGUUUAAUCCAAUUAAUUAACAUUCUGAUCAAUUUAGAUUUUAGAGGGGUGUAUUCAAUUCAGAUUUUAAAAGUUUUUUUAUUUCAAUAGUUUGAUAUCUAUGUAAUUAUGUAAUCAGAAAAAUAAUUUUCAUAAUUAACUGAAGUUACAUUUCAAAUAUCUUAUGUAAUUAUUGAAAUGCAUUUUACUAAAUAUUGUGCAUGAUUAUGAUGGAAUUCAAGGGUGAUCAAGCAGACCCAAGAAUGAGGGCAUCUUCAAAAAAGCGUGGAAUUGAGAUAACUUCAAUCUCGAGGCCGAUAAAGCCAUCAGAUUUUAGGGAUUUUGAUCUUAUUCUUGCAAUGGAUAAUCAAAACAGAGGUAAAUUUACUCAUAUAAACUGGAAAUCAAUUGAUUCAAGUAGUUUCCAUUUUAGUGCAAUUGGUGAUGAUCCUUACAUAGACAAGAAAUUCAAUUUGAACUUACUGAAAGUUUUGUUGGCCUAAAGAGGACAUACUAGGUGCAUUCGAGAGGUGGAGGCACAGACAGCCGCUACCCGGAAACGCCCAUGAAAAGGUUCGUCUCAACGGCUACUCGUUUCCUACAUGCUAUAGUUUGAUCGUUUCUUGCGAUUCUGCAGGUUCGCUUGAUGUGCUCUUUCUGCAAGAGGCAUGAUGAAACCGAAGUUCCAGAUCCCUACUAUGGCGGGCCACAAGGUUUCGAGAAGGUAAUACAAUACAUAAUAUGCAUUGAUGAGAUAGGCAUGUCGAGGCUUAACUUUCCACUGCAUUUAUCACAGGUUCUGGAUUUACUCCAAGACGCAUGCGAAGCUCUAUUGGAAAGCAUUGUCGCUGAGAAGCUCUAAACUGUCACUUUCCUGAUUCACUUGUUUCUUAAAUGAAAACACAGCUUAUAUACUUCUUUUAUUUGAUAAGCAAAUGUGAUGCUCUUCCUAAAUGCAAAUAACUUAUUAGCAAACAUAAACCAAACAACACAAAAUGAUAAGGAGGUUGCAUCAAUGCUAUAAUCUCAAGUCAUUCAUGAAUCACUAAGCUUUCAAGAUAUCAAUACUUGGAUAAGAAAAGCUAGCCUGCAAAGCUCUUCCCGUAUUGAUCACCACAGCAAACAAGUUCUUAUUCCUUCUUUCCAAUCCCAUGAGGCAUAUUGUAGAUCCCUAUCCCCUAAUAAAUGAGGGCACGAAAGAGAAAGAGCAGUUAUAUUAUCAACCGAGGGCAAGAAAAGGCGCUUACAUGAGAGAGAGAAGAGGAAUGGCAACUGAGGUGAUUUUAUCAAAUGCUCCUUUUAAAUAAGUGUGUGUGUGCGCAUGCUCUUGGCCUGAAGCGUGGCUCAAUUGUAGACAUCCUGCGCCAAUUUGAAGCUGUAGUUUCAUGGAAACCAGAAAAAAUUGUUGCUAAAAAAAUCUCAAAUCUAGUUCUUGUUUCUUGUGAAAUUUCCAUAAUAUGAUCAAGCUCUCAUCAGUCAUUCCAAAUAGUCAAAUACCAUGUUUAGCCAUGUUUAGAUCACCUAAUUUCGCCUCCACAGUUUUAGGAUUUUUGAUUGUUUCAUCCCAAAUCAUAAAGUGUCAUAAAGUUCAGACACAUAAAUUGGUUAAAAAGCACGGUUGAUUAACUGAAAGAAAUUUAACAGAAGAAUCACAAUCUAACCAUCCAAACGAGAAGAAUUUUUUGCACCAAACAGUUUAUACAUUAUCUCAGUAUUCUCUAUUCCAGAUAUGCUUCAUCUCUCUCUCUCUCUUUAUUUUUUUUAUUUUAGAGAUCUUCAUCCAAUACAAGGAAGAUAAAUUGCGGAUUUAAAUGGAAGAAACGUACACACAUGAAAACUUGAUAUACAUUCAAGCAGCAAAAUCCUCAGAACUCAUAAUUUGAUAGGUAAAGAAAGAUACUUGCCUGAGUCCAAGCGUGAAAAUCCCGAAAAAUGAAGUUCGCAGUUGCAGAGUUGAUCAAAUUAAUAACAGCCAAGGAGAGAGUUGCGGGUCGACUUUGUUGUUUGGCUGGGCCCGAUUGAGGCCCAAGCCCAAUUCAUAUUAAUAUACUCCCUCCGUCCACCAAUUAAAGGCCUAUAUGAAAAAACACGGGUUUUAAGAAAAAAUGUAUUUUUAUUAGUUGAGUGGAGAAAGGGUCCCACUUUUUAAGAAAAUGUGUAUUUUUAUUAGUUGAGUGGAGAAAUGGUCCCACUUUUUUGUAAAGAAUCUCUAACUUUUUUGAUUAAAUAAUGAAUAAAAACUUACCAAAAAUAGGUAGGCCUUGUUUUUGUGGACGGACCAAAAAGGCAAGUAGGCCUUGAAUUGGUGGACGGAGGGAGUAAUAUUCUAUUUCAUUAGUUUUCUUGAUACUGAGCUUGGGUAGAGAGGCAUAUAUACUUUAUGUUACGUGAAAGGUCAAACUAAUUUACUAAGAAUAGAAACUAAUGUAGUUAGAACUAUUCACGAAUUACAAAUAUUCAUUCACUGCUAUGACAAGAUUAUUAAAGUGUUUUCAAUAGUUUAAUUUGUACUCCCUCCGUCCCACGAAUCUUGACACGUUUAAUUUCAACACGGGAAUUAAGGAAUUGUAGAUUAGUAUUUUAAAUGUGUAGUUAAUAAAGUAUAAAAGUGAUAAAGUAUGAGAGAGAAGGUAAUGAAAAUGAUAAACUAGGAAAGAGAAGGUAAUAAAGAUGAUAAAGUAGGAGAGAGAAAGUAAUAAUUAUUACCUUAUUUGAAAAUGAGUCAAGAUUCGUGGGACGGCCCAAAAAGAAAAACGUGUCAAGAUUCGUGGGACGAAGGGAGUACUUUCUAAAUAGUUUCAAGUUAUUAAAUAAGAUUUAAAAGUGAAUUACUCGAAACGGAUCACUCGAAACAGAUCACAAAUUUCAUGUAAAACCUAUUUAUUCGGUCCUAUAAAAGUACGCACAUUUUGACAUUUUUGUCAGUUUCAUUAGAAUGUGUAUAUUUUAUUAUUUUUCAUUCACAACACUAUAAAUAAUAUGUGCCCAUUCUUCAUUCAUAAUAUCCAUAAAAAUUUGUACACAUAAAAAAAGUGUGCGUACUCUUUCAAAAAGGGGGAGCAUAAUAUCAUUAUUUAUUUGAGAGCAUUUCAUUGGUAAAUAUCCAUAAACGAGGUAUAAUAUAUUAUGAUACAUAGUAUCUUUGUCUUCUUACUAAUGAAUCACUAUGAUUGUCGUUUAGUAAAUUCGUUAAUAAAUUUUCAGCCGUGAUGAGGUUUCACUCACAUCAUAUUUACGAAAAAAAAAAUAUUUUUUUUGUAAACGGCUGAUUACAAAUAAAUUAUUAAUUUUUAAAUAAAAUUUUAUUUUCCAUAUUAACUUUAAAAUUUGUAUUAAAAUUACUUAAUUAUUAUUAUUAUUAUUAUUAUUAUUAUUUGCAUAUUAAGUCAUUUUCCGAUCAAACUUUGUGCCUAUAAUGACGUCGGUUCCAUCCAAUUAUAUAAUAGGAAGUUGAUUUUGUUUUUCUGCACGAUUAUAUUUAUGUCAUGUUAUCAUGUCGAAAAAUAGGCGAGGUGUAAAAAUUUAUUUAUAUAUAUAUAUAUAUAAUAAAAUUAAUACAGUACAUAAAAUGAGAAUUUUGUUUGAAAGUUAUAUGUAAUCAACUUUUUUAUAAAUGGUUUGUUUUGUAAUAUGUAAAAGUGCCGAAAGUUGACUUGGUUUAUACUGUGCACUUGUGCUGUUAAGAAAUAUCUUUGGAGUUGAAACUUUCCAUGUGAGCGGCUCCAAAAAAGUCAAAUAAAAACACCUAAUUAACAGUGUUGCAUUAAAUUAAAUGAUUCAGAGCUGCAGCACCAGUCAAUCAUCCUGUUAAAAUCUAAAUCAAAAUUAAGAUAAGACGAUUUAUUACGAAAGUGACAUUGAUCAGAAUUUCUUCCUCGCUGGUCCCUUUUCAUUUAAUUUUGAUGCAAGUGUCUCAAAAUUGUUUUCGGUUACGCCGGCUACUGUUCGACCUUCCAUCUAGAAAUUAACUCCACGUGUAUUCAUAAUAACAAUUGAUUUAUUAUAUUUUAUUCGUAUUGAUAUUUGAGUAUAACAGAACCGAUCACCUACCCACCGUGGGCAAGCAUAACGUGCCCACCAUUGAUGUGGCAAUUUUAAUUAGGAAAGAUAACUAAUAAAUCUUACUCUAAUUAAAAUUAUCUUACUAUAAUUACAAUUGCCACAUCAUGGUGGGCACGUUAUGCAUGCCCACGGUGGGUAGGUGAUCGGUUAGCACACCAAAAAAAGUGUGUGAAUAUUGUACUUCAAAGAGACACGACAAUAGUGUGCGUAAAUCCAUUAGGAAAAUUAAUGUCAUGCAUAAUCACUAUUUAAUUCCAGUAUAUGAAUAUCCUAUUCUUCAUUAAUAUAGCUUCUAAUUACAUAGUUGUAAUCUUGUGUGAAAACUUUACAAAAGUGAUGUGCAGUUAAAUCCAUUAUUUACUAAUAUAAUAUUUAAUUUCUUCAUAAUGAUCACCUACACUAAGUAUUGAUGUGUUUAUGUUUUCAUGAAUGACAUGUAACGUAAUGUCACAUGUUCUGUAUUAUCAAAAGGUGAAAAUAGUUGCCAAUAUUCAUGGUCAUUUCUUCAUUCUAUGUAGGAGUAGAUAGAGAUUGUAUAACAUAAAAAUUUAUGUGAGACCAUUUCAUCAUGAUUUGAAUGAGGUUGAUAUAUAUAUAUGAGUUUGAAUGUAAAUCAUGAUAUAUAUGUCUCACACCCGAUUCUACAAGAUGAAUGAAAUACCAUGAGUGCAUAUUAAAUAUUAAUGUUGUCUAACUAGAAGCUAUCAGAUUUGGUAUUGGAGCAAAAUUAUUGUGGGUAGAAUAGGAGUUCCAAUAAAAAAGAAAAACAUUUAUUUUUCAUGGGAUUAUAGGUUUGAAUUAUAGCAUUUGUUUUCGUCAAUUAUGGUGAACCCCCUAAACCUAUUUGAUUUCAAAUAGGAAAAUAAGGUGAAUCACCACAAAACAUUAAUUAAAUAAAUGCGUUACCGGAUUUUGGGCUUUAAAGCCUACAUUCACUUUUGUAGCACUCUUUAAUUAUCUGUCCACUUUCAUCAAUAUAUAAUUAAGAUCCACGUAAUUAAUUACUUUCACUAUACCUAAAGUAUGUAGCACUUACACCAGAUUUCUUCAUUUCAAGUGGAAUUUGAGAAGUAAAGCAUUAAACGAAAGCAUAAAAUAAUGGCUCUUUCUUUCUUUCUCGCUGCGAAUAUUGUGGAAAUAUCAAGGUGAAACUGACCUAAUGGUAAGAAAAUAUAAAAGUUGUAAUAAAAUUCUAAUCCAUAUCUUUUCAGAAAAGAAAAAAAAAUUCUAACCCACUUACUGAGAUGAGUCAAAAACUUUAUAAAGAUUUAGGUUCAAGAAAAUAUAUUAGUGAUUAAUUGCCAAACAAAAUGGAAGAAAUUUAGGUGUGUAUAACUAUCCAGGCAGGCAGGCGCAUUUAUUAUUGAUUUGGAAACAAAUGAAAUAACAGGACAUGCAUUUUGGAGUGAUUCUAAUAAUGUAACAUCAAAAAAUCGUUUUAUUCAUAUCAGCAGCCAGCAGCCGAGGCUGAAUGCGAUUUAUGAAAGUGAGUCGAUUAAAAAGAAAAAUUAUAUACACUCGAAUUUUGAAAAUUAUUUGGAUUUAGUUUAGAAGUAGCUUUUUAAUUUAGUGUGUUGACUCAGAACUAGCUUUCACUUAAUGAAUGAGAGAGGAUUCAAGAAAGCUUUGAACUAAUCAAGAGAAUUAAUUUAAUGGGGUCUUAUUAUCCUGUUCAAGAACUAAUUAUUUUUUAAUGAGGGUUAUAUAAAAGUUAAUCUAAAUUAAUAUAUUUGUGGGUUGUCACGCAAAUUAAGAAAGGCCGUCGAACUUUAUUGGUAGUUAAAGUUACAAUUUUUUAUGACUUAAAAGAAAACAUAACAGGCUCGUGUAUCACAUGGUAGGAUUAAUCAUAGAAAUUAGAAUAAUUCAUUAGAAUAUUAACGCGCUCUGUCACAAAUUAAAUAAUUGUAUAAUAAUCCAAACAAAGUACAUCGCAAGUUGAGCAAAAUUAGCCACCAUCUAGAAGAUGCAAGGGACACACAAUCUAUCAAGUAAAUUAUUGUUGAAUAUGUAAACUAGAAAUAAUUCAAAUGUAGCAAUCGUUUGUUCUAAAGGUCAAAUUCUUUGAAAUUAAGUAAUUAUUUGAAGUAUCUUGUUAGAAUCUAAUACUUUUUUUACAGUAUUUUUCAACAGAUAUAGUUAAAUGUCAGAUGCCGAAACUUUUCUCAAGAUAUUUAUUUCUAACGAAUUUUAUAUAUAGUACAAUAUUGACCUCAUCAUAUAUAAGUUCAGACAGUCAAUCGUAUAUAGAAAAGUUAGUAGUCUUACAACAUUAAUUUUGUUAUAUAGUAAUGAUGAUAUUGAAUCGUAUAUAGAAAAGUUAGUAGUCUCACAACAUUUAAUUUUGUUAUAUAGUAAUGAUGAUAUUGAAAUCUGUAAUUGUUUUUUUUCUAUGAACGCAUGUAUAAUAAAGUUUAUAAACAAAUAAUACUGGUAUGCGCAUGUGAUUAAAUAUAUAGUACUAAAAAAACAUUAAACGUGUGCAUAAGUAGUGAUAAUAUAUGAAAAUGUCAGUCCCACGUGUAAAUAGUAAUAAUGUGGUACUUAAUAUUUUAACAGUCUAAUAAAAUGUCUCGAGUUGAAUUUGUGGGUUUGAAAAAUGUGGUCGAAUAUGCAUUUAGGAUUAAUAUUGUUGAUUUGUUCUUUGUGAAUUUUUUAAGAGUUGUGUGCUUAUACACACUUGCAUUUAUGCACACAAGGUAACUCGAAUAUUCAAUCUAUUGUUAAGGAAGGUCUUUAUCAAUUAAGUUGUGAUUCAUGGCCAUUUGUGCUCUGUGAAUUGGUUAGGAACCCACAUUCUCUUGUCAGACACAUAGACUUUUGGAAUUCAAAAUUUCAAUUUGUGAUAUUGUUAAAAGGUCGGGUAUCAAAUAUCACCAUUUAAACAAUAUGACAUUUUAGGAAGACAAACAUAAAAUUUGGAUAUUUUCAUAUAGAUUUUUUCAAAAUUAAAUAUAAUAGAAGAUAUAUAUACAUAUGAAUUUAUUAUGAAAAUGGUGAAUUCAAAAAAAAAAAUAUGUGUUCACUUGUGAAAUUCAAACACUUGACAUGAAUUUAUUCAAUAAAAUAAUAAAUCUAUGGUAAUUUUUACAAUGUUAGGACUAAAAAUGAUUUUUUUACAUGUUAUAUGAUAUACAUGUGAAGCACUCCCUACACACACACAUUACAAAUAUAUAAGAGUUACGUGAUUAAUUUAUUUCUAUAAUUCAAAAUUCAAGAUUCGUCCCACAAAUUUUGGGUGCCAACGAUUUCCACCAUCACACAUUUCCUUCUACAUUUACGCAAUGUCAAUUUGUUUCUUAGAAGUUGACCUCGCUAAAGUUUAUUUAUAUAUAGUCAUAUCCAUCUAGAUGGGUUGGAACAAUUCUCUUAAGUUACACACUUGUUUUUCUUUGCAUUCAGAUGCAAUUAAUAAUAAACACAUGAUUUCAUUCUUUCUCCAGUGAAAUUACGUAUCAUUUACUCCCAGUUACCACCCCAUGCUAAUGAUAGGCCUUUUCUUAAUAUAAAAUUCAAAUCUACCAACCAAAAAGUGACAUCCUCAGUUAAUUUAUUCCAAAAUAAGAUAAAUCGUUAAAUAAAAGGGUGAAAAGACCAUUUAGUAGUACUUGCUUCUUCGUGUUCACGCGCAACCCACACUUGGUUGCUACAUAAAGUAAUGAGGACGGCGUCGUUUCGAAGAAGUUUCUCUUCUGGUCAGCAAAAUACAACCCAAAAAAAGACAACCAUACCCCAACCCUCACCCCCUGCUUACUGCCCUACAUUAGUCAAACUCUAACUGCCACUGUUAAUUCCUAAUUAAAUGCAUAAUCCGUCCAAUUCCAGCACACGGCGUCUGCCAAUGGGCCCACUAAAAUAUCCAGCAAUAUUGUUAAAAUUAGACAUAUUCUGUCUCUAUGCAAGAAUCGGAUGAAUAGUUUUUCAAUCUUACAAUUUUUGUAUGUUACUACCAAAUUUUAUUCUUCGAAUAAUAUAUUUAUAGUAACAUAUACACUUAUAAUCAACUCAAUGUAAUAUCUUAACUAAGAGUUUAAACUAGCAAAGGCUGUAAAUUCUAAUUAUGAAACAAUCCAAUCCCAAAUAUUAACCAAAUUGAGAAAUAAUACAAAUCUAGUUAAAAUUUGUGAAAUAAAACUAAAAUACUUAUAAGAAUUUAGAAAAGUAUCUAUGUAUAUACGAAAAGAAAUGUCUAUGCAGCAGGGGUGGUCAUGACCAGUAAUAAAAUUAGUGAAGCCAACGCUUUCCCGAGCUUAUAACAGAUUCACAAGCAACAAAAACACCCGAUUUUUACUCUAAUAGUAUUUUCUAAUUUCGUUUUUCCUUUUUUUUUUUAAUUAUGUAAUACUUGAAUAUUAAAAGGGUGAUUGUAGCCCAAUUUUGACCAGAAUUCAACACACAGCAUCCCAUGCCAACCAAAUGGAGGAAAUUCAACGCAACUGUGAGAGAGUCUUCACACACACACACAUAUAUAUAUACAUGUUUGUAUAGCUACGAAGAAAAAAUAUCCAACUCUCAACUCCAAAAACAUAGUAAGAGAGAGAGAGAGAGAAGGGAGAAAAACUGCAUGGCAACUUGAUUUUCAAUCUUUCACACUACAAAGAAAUUACACACCACCGAUUCUUUCAUUCAUUUAAACAACAAAAAAUCUCUACAUUUCUCUUCUCAAUCAGUCGCAACAAGGUGGAUAGUUAGUUAGACUAAAGCAAUUAGGAUCUGAUCGGAAACAACCGAAGAUGGCGGCGGCGCUGGCGGGGGACGAUCUGUCUCGGACGACGAGCAGCAAGCGGAGCUGGCGGCAGCAGAGCAUAAGAGACGUGUGGCAGGGGCCGCCGGACGUGUUCAUGAGGAGCAGCACGCGGCGGCAGGCGGAGGACGACGAGGAGGAGCUGCGGUGGGCUGCCAUCGAGCGCCUCCCGACGUACGACCGCCUCCGCAAGGGCGUGCUGCAGCAGGUGGUCAGCAAUGGCAGGAUCGUCCACUCCGAAGUCGACGUGGCCAAUUUGGGGUCGCAGGAUAAGAAGCAGCUCAUGGAGAGCAUCCUCAAAGUUGUUGAAGAAGAUAACGAGAAGUUCUUGCAGAGGCUCAGGAACAGAACCGACAGGUACACACACAAACACGUUUAUGUUGGUGUGUGGUGGAUGUAUUGCGAUAGAGUGUGGUGUGAGGCGCCGGAUUCAGUUAAUUUCUGGUAAUUAAUGAUUGUUUUGGAAUUUUAUUUAGGGUUGGGAUCGAGAUCCCGAAGAUUGAAGUGAGGUUUCAGAACCUGUCUAUUGAGGGAGAUGCGUAUGUCGGUACGAGAGCGCUUCCCACUCUCCUCAACUCAACCAUCAAUACAUUGGAGGUGUGUAUUUUGCUUGAUUUUUGACACAUUUGAUCUGAUGUGUUUGGGCAUUGAAUGAUUCUUGACUAAUUCUGUUUAGAUUGUGGUUUGUGAAGUAGAAAAAUGAAUAUGAAAUUUCAGACGAGAAUUAGAUCUUAUGUUAGAUAUCUGAGUUUUAUGACGUGGAUAAGUUUUUGUAACUGAUAAUGAUUGAAUGAUGUGAUGAUAGGCUUGUUUAGGGAUGAUUAGGCUCUCUCCAUCAAAGAAGAGGAUGGUUCAGAUCCUUCGAAAUGUCAGUGGAGUUGUGAAACCAUCAAGGUUAGCUUAUAAAACCUGCAAAAUUCUAAAAAUUAAAUGGUUAAUUUCCGGUUUUUGAAAUUGUUGAUCUUGUUUUGGUGAUGAAUAAAUUGUGUAAUAUUUUGAUGAAUAAAUUGUGUAAUAUUUUGUUAUAGGAUGACACUGCUUCUUGGACCACCAGGUUCCGGGAAAACUACAUUGCUUAAAGCACUAACAGGAAAGCCUGAUGAUGAUAUGAAGGUGUGUGUUUUUUCUGUUACCAAUCCUAGGAUUACUAAAAAAACAUUAAUAUUUCCAAAAAUCUUGUAUGUGUGCUGAUGUUUGACGUUGUGAGCAGGUGACUGGAAAAAUCACCUACUGUGGCCACGAAUUCCACGAAUUCGUUCCUCAAAGAACUUGUGCUUAUAUCAGCCAGCAUGAUCUUCACUACGGUGAGAUGACUGUUCGUGAGACGCUGGAUUUCUCAGGUAGAUGUUUGGGAGUUGGGACGAGGUAUGAAAUGCUUGUGGAGUUGUCGAGAAGAGAGAAAGAAGCUGGCAUCAAACCUGAUCCUGAGAUUGAUGCAUUCAUGAAGGCCACAGCCUUAGUGGGGCAAGAAACGAGUUUGAUCACAGAUUAUGUGCUCAAGGUUCGUCUGCAUUUAUUUUUGGCUUCUCAGCAUUUCCUAUGAAUGAACAAGGCUAACAUGUAUAUAUAUAUAUAUAUAUAUAUAUAUAUAUAUAUAUAGUAUUUAGUAACAGUAUUCNUACUAUAUAUAUAUAUAUAUAUAUAUAUAUAUAUAUAUGAUUUUGAACAGAUUCUUGGAUUGGAUAUUUGUGCUGAUAUUAUGGUGGGAGAUGAUAUGAGAAGAGGAAUUUCUGGUGGGCAGAAAAAGCGUGUCACAACCGGUAUGUUUUAGUCAUAUUCAGGAGCAAUACUAAUAAAAAAACUGAUUUCGAGAAAUUCUGUCUGAAAACUUGUAAUUUUUUUUAUUAUAUCUUACUUAUGAUGGUUUUUUGCUCUGUGAAUUGCAGGGGAAAUGUUGGUUGGACCAGCAAAAGCAUUCUUCAUGGACGAAAUUUCAACGGGACUGGAUAGUUCUACAACCUUCCAGAUUGUGAAGUUCAUGAGGCAGAUGGUUCACAUCAAUGACAUAACCAUGGUCAUCUCUCUCCUGCAGCCAGCUCCAGAAACUUUCGAUCUUUUUGAUGAUGUGAUCCUGCUCUCGGAUGGUGAGAUUGUCUACCAGGGCCCUCGUGAGAGUGUGCUUGAGUUCUUUGAAUUCAUGGGGUUCAGAUGCCCGGAGAGGAAGGGAGUUGCAGACUUUCUGCAAGAAGUGACCUCAAAGAAAGAUCAAGAACAGUAUUGGUGUCGCAAGAAUCAGCCUUACAGCUAUGUCUCGGUGCCCGACUUUGCACAGGCUUUCAACUCUUUUCACCUAGGGCAGCAGCUUACUGAAGAGAUGAGGGUUCCAUAUGACAAGUCCAGAGCUCAUCCAGCUGCAUUGGUGAAGGAGAGGUUUGGUAUCUCGAACAUGGAGCUUUUCCGAGCUUGUUUUGAUAGGGAGUGGCUGCUGAUGAAACGGAGCUCGUUUAUUUACAUCUUUAAGACCACGCAGAUCACUAUCAUGGCCACAAUUGCGUUGACAGUUUUCCUCAGAACUGAGAUGAAGUCGGGUGGAAUUGGGGAUGCUGCUAAGUUUUGGGGAGCGCUGUUCUUCAGUCUUAUCAAUGUUAUGUUCAAUGGAAUGCAGGAGCUUGCAAUGACUGUUUUUAGGCUUCCUGUGUUUUUCAAGCAGAGGGAUAGCCUGUUCUACCCAGCUUGGGCCUUCGCGUUGCCAAUUUGGGUGCUUCGUAUUCCCAUCUCUGUCGUGGAGUCUGCAUUGUGGAUCAUCUUCACCUACUACACCAUUGGAUUUGCACCUUCUCCUGUUAGGUACUUUGCAAGUGAAUAUUCAACAAGAAAGUAUAAAAAUGAGAAAUGUGAAAUGGCUGUUUUGAUUGAUUCUUGAUUUGCUAUGUGUACUUUUUUCAGGUUCUUCAAACAACUGUUGGCCUUCAUUGGGGUGCAUCAGAUGGCUCUCUCCCUCUUCCGUUUCAUUGCUGCAGUAGGAAGAACUCAAGUCGUUGCAAACACAUUCGGAACUUUCGCCUUGCUGUUGGUGUUCGUGUUGGGAGGCUUUGUUGUUGCAAAGGGUAAAUAAACAAUCAAGCAUCUUUCUUUCCUUAUGAACAAAAUUUGGAGAUGUUCCUCUGAUAAUAUAUUAUCUAUUGGUGAUUGUUUUGAACUGAUGAAUGUUGGUUUUGACAGAUGAUAUCCAAGAUUGGAUGAUAUGGGGUUACUACAUCUCUCCUAUGAUGUAUGGACAGAACGCAAUCGCCAUUAAUGAGUUCCUCUCUGAGAGAUGGAGUGCACCUGCCCCUGCUAAUUCAUCUGAGUCAACUGUAGGCAAGACCCUUCUCAAGGACAGAGGUUUGUUCACAACGGAGUCGUGGUACUGGAUCUGCAUCAUAGCUCUCUUCACCUUUUCUCUGCUGUUCAACGUCCUCUUCGUUGCUGCAUUGACAUACUUGAACCGUAAGUACCACCACCCCCCUCCUACUUGGCAUUUCUGCUGAGGAAGAUGGUGUUUUGACGCGUGUGCUAACUGUUUUUUGCCCUGCUUGCUCUCAGCUCUGGGCGAUAACAAGGCCAUCAUAAGCGAUGAAAAGGAGGAGAGCAAGAAAAAGAAGAGAGUGACAGAAAUGUCUACAAGGAAUGAUAAUGGAAGUAGUGAACCAAGAAGAGGGAUGGUGUUGCCUUUUGAGCCUCUCUCUCUUACUUUCAACCAUGUCAAUUACUAUGUUGAUAUGCCUGCUGUAAGCCUCUCUCUCUCCCUCUCUCCCUCUCUCUCUCUCUCUAAAAUAUACUAGUUCCUAACUUGAGGCCACGAUAUUGGAUGCAGGCUAUGAAGACUCAAGGUGUUGAGGAGGAAAGGCUGCAGCUUCUGAGAGAUGUGAGUGGAGCAUUCAGGCCUGGUGUUCUAACAGCAUUGGUUGGAGUUAGUGGAGCAGGAAAAACGACGUUGAUGGAUGUCUUGGCUGGUAGAAAGACGGGAGGCUACACAGAAGGCCCCAUAACCGUCUCAGGCUUCCCCAAGAACCAAGAAACGUUUGCACGAGUGAGUGGCUACUGUGAGCAGAAUGACAUCCAUUCACCCUAUGUCACUGUCUACGAAUCACUCCUCUACUCUGCUUGGCUGCGUCUGGCUGCUGAUGUCAACACAGAAACGCGAAAGGCAAGCUAACCCCAUCACCAUCUCCAUUCUCACAACCUAGAACUAUUGAGUUUUUUUUUAAAACAAAAUUUUGAAUUUUGAUUGCUGCAGAUGUUUGUGGAGGAGGUGAUGGACUUGGUUGAACUGAACCCCUUGAGGAAUGCUCUUGUUGGGCUUCCUGGAGUCGACGGUCUCUCAACAGAACAGAGGAAGAGACUCACCAUUGCUGUUGAACUGGUGGCUAAUCCUUCCAUAAUCUUCAUGGAUGAACCAACUUCUGGGCUUGAUGCUCGAGCAGCUGCUAUCGUGAUGAGGACAGUGAGGAACACUGUGGACACAGGCCGAACAGUCGUCUGCACGAUUCACCAGCCGAGCAUAGACAUCUUUGAAGCUUUUGAUGAGGUAUUUACCUAUGACAAACCAACACGAUGAACUUAACCUCAUUGCAUUCUUUGCAGUGAUACUAAAAAACAUGAUUAUUCUUCGUGCAGCUGCUGUUGAUGAAGAGAGGAGGACAAGUGAUCUAUGCAGGACCUCUUGGUCGCCAAUCCCACAAGCUUGUUGAAUAUUUUGAGGUGAGGUUUCUACUUCCCUGCAUUUCUUCUGUGCUUUUUGUGCUUCUGCCGUAGGCUAAAAUGAAUCAAGAAGAACGCAUUGAGAGCUCAUUUGGACAGCAAGAAGCCUAACCUUAAAUUCAAACAUGCAGGCUAUACCCGGUGUCCCCAAAAUCAAAGAGGGAUACAAUCCAGCUACAUGGAUGUUGGAUGUUACCUCUUCUGCUGCUGAAGGUCAAAUGGAUGUCGACUUUGCUGAAAUCUACGCCAACUCUGCCCUCUACCGGUGAGUGAAAAAUCGUUUGACAAUGUCUACAUAUGGAAUCUAUUGAGAGAAUGGGGGUGUCUUAGUCUAUUUUCUUGAUUAUGUUUUGGGAAAACUUAGGAACAACCAAGAGCUGAUAAAGGAACUGAGCUCACCAGCACCGGGGACGAAGGACCUAUACUUCCCCACACAGUAUUCUCAAUCAUUCUUAACACAAUGCAAGGCUUGCUUUUGGAAGCAGCACUGGUCAUACUGGAGAAACUCUCAGUACAAUGCUAUUCGGUUCUUCACAACUGUGAUCAUCGGUGUGAUGUUUGGUGUCAUCUUUUGGCAAAAGGGGAAUAAGAGUAAACUGUAAGCCAAAAUCUCUCUGUUGAUAUCAUUUCUAGUCAUUGAGACAUCAAAGAUAGUUGCUUUUUUGGUUUAUGACUUGUAGUAACAAAAAACUUUUGAUAACAGAACUGGGCAACAAGACUUGCUCAAUCUUCUGGGAGCUACUUAUGCUGCAGUUCUUUUCUUGGGGGCUGCCAAUGCUUCUGCUGUUCAAUCUGUCGUAGCAAUUGAGAGAACAGUCUUCUACCGUGAGAGGGCUGCAGGGAUGUACUCAGAGCUACCAUACGCGUUCGCUCAGGUAAAUAAAGUCUCAACUAAAAUCAUCUGUGUCUAGUUCUCGCAUCAAAGAGAGAGAAGCAUGAGGAAACAACAUCUGACUCUGUGUUUGUGUGAUGUGUAGGUGGCAAUAGAGACGGUGUAUGUCGCGAUUCAGACAUUAGCUUACUCUCUACUUCUCUACUCCAUGAUUGGAUAUGAAUGGACAGGAGAGAAAUUCUUCUACUUCUACUACUUCAUCUUCAUGUGCUUCACCUACUUCUCUAUGUAUGGAAUGAUGGUUGUUGCAUUGACACCUGGCUACCAAAUUGCUGCCAUUGUUAUGUCCUUCUUCCUCAGCUUCUGGAACUUGUUCUCUGGCUUCCUCCUCCCUCGUCCGGUGAGUACUGAAAUUCUUAUUAAUCCAUAAUAGAAACAACACAUCAAAAAAUCCUAAUGCUAAUGAAUGCAUGUUUCUUGCAGCUUAUCCCAAUCUGGUGGAGGUGGUACUACUGGGCUUCACCUGUUGCCUGGACAAUCUAUGGCAUUUUCACGUCCCAAAUGGGCGACGUAACGAACCCACUUCAAAUACCCGGUGACCCUAGACCAGAAACAGUGAAAGGAUUUCUGAAAACAUACUUGGGAUAUGAUUAUGACUUCCUCCCUGCAGUUGUGGCUGCUCAUGUUGGUUGGGUGCUCCUCUUCUUCUUCGUCUUCGCCUACGGAAUCAAGUACCUUAACUUCCAGAGAAGAUAGAGAGGCAUUUCAAGAAGAGAAAUUUGCAGAUUUUAAGGUUUAUUUGUCACAGGAUAAAUGUAUACUAUGUAGGCUGUUUUGCUAGAUAGGAGACUAGCUCCAUUUUUAUUUUAUUUUUUCUGUUUCCUCUUACAGUAGCUGUGUGUAUGUAUCUACUCUAUUUUGCUUGCUCUUUUCUUGUUUUAAAUUUGUAUAAUUAUUCACUCAAUAAGCAUAUUUUUGAACAUCCACAUCUUUGUAGCUUUUUUUAUUUUAAUGUUGAGCGUAAAUGAUUAAUUCCAUCACUCUGGAAUCUGGAUACAUGUAGUAUAUACAUAUAAGAAAUACAGACAAAAAUAUUCACUCUUUAGCUUGCUUGAAAAUGGUAGCAACUUUCUUGAUUGAUUUGAUUUAUGUGACCUAUGCCAAAAUAUACAUAUAUAAAAUGCCAAUUUAUUGAUAAUAUGAUCCAUCACAGGAUAACUUAAAACAAAAAGUCAAAAACUGAGACAUGUUAAAUUAGCUGCCUACAACUUACAGCAGUCUUCUGAUUUACAAACCAGUCAUUGUAUAAAAAACAUUCAGAGCUCAACAAAAUAUAGAUGGCAAAAAAAAAUGAGAACAGACGGAGAUUCGAUAUUUGUAUGCAAAAGAGAUCAAAAUAUGAAUUAGUGUUACUAUGAUCUGCCAGUUUCUCCCCCAGUAUCUAUAGGUGCAUGCACAAUGCUCAGGAUCUGCUUUUUGCUCUUCAAAAUGCAUCGUUUCUUCGUGUCGAAAUCGAGUUUAUCCAGAUCCUCUGCAAUUCCCAGGUAACCAUACAAAAAGUCGUCUUCGCUCUCUAAAGAUACCACAUUUUUGCCUCUGGAACUUCCACACUCGGACUUUAAUUGCUUGAAUUCGGCUCUCCCAUGCUUAGAUUUGAUGUAUCUCUUGUCGAACCUCUCCGCCUCUCGUAAUCCAGAAAGUGUACCGUUGAACUUCACCAGCAACACGCUCUGAUUUGCAGGUUUUCCAUUGCAUACCUUAAGAAUGCUUUUGAAACCCAUAUCUAGACCAAAAGACAAAACGAAUUACAUAAACAAAGAGUAACAAAGAAGGUAUCACGUUCGAUACAGCAUGCCUUGCAUCAUCACAAGCUUCCAACACUUAUGCAGAACUAAAACGGUCUUAAAGAAAGCGGAUGAACUUCAUGAGUUGAACCUAUGCUACAAUUUACCCGCUGAAGAUUAAGAUACGAAGCAACCAAAAGGAUCCGGGAGAUGCAUACCUCUGAGCUUGGUAUCUAGCUUCUCGGCGGAUAUGAUAACCCUUUCAUCAGGACUCAUGCUAUCUAUGGUACUGUUGUGAACAACCACGAUCGGUGGCCAAAUGAUGAGAUCUUCUUUCAAAACUUGAGUCUCUGCAUCAGUCAUGACUUCACGAUGCCAUUGGCUGCUAGGGUGCUCCGUAGUCUUCCAUCCCAUAAGUACACAUAGCGCUUUGUGCAAGCCCAAAUGCUGAGACCUCAUGCCAACUUUCUUGGAUGUGAAGGCAUGCAUUGCAAGCCUCUCUGUCCCAACAAACUCCUUGGAAUUGCUGAAGAAAAAACCGACCGGUAAAGUUGUAUUACUAUAAGUUACAGAGGAAUUAUAAAAGCAUAAGAAGUUAGAAAACGAUCAUAUACUAGGGGACUCUAGGAGGGUAAUUUAGCAGGCACAGAUCGAAACAUCCAUGAUGAAAGAACGUGCUACACUUCUAGCUUGAAAUUACAGAAAAUAUCUAUCACAGUAUUUAUGAUAUCCUUUGAUAAAUAAAAUAUUCAUGCAACAACAUAUCCAACCCAAACCAGAAAUGGCUGCCAACAUCAUGAUCAGGAACCCCCACGAGGAAAAAAUCCCAUCUCAGGUAAUACAGAACAUAAUAUGGAGCUUUGUCAAGAAGGUCCACACAAAAAUUUCAACACGAACUGUCAGACUCAUAGCGGUCUCCUCCCAAUGGCAGGUGAUCAUUGAGGGGGUGCUUGGUGUGGUUUGGCAGAGGGGAACGGAAAUCAAAUGAAGGUGGAUGUUUGGUGUAGGAGAAUCGCUCCUCUAUAGUAAUUAUGAUACCUAAAGAUGGGGAAAUAAAACCCUUCAUGUAUUUAAAAAACUACAAGUCGGUAAAUCAAUCGCAUCACCAGAAAAUAGACAGCUACAUGAUUACAUAAAUUAUUGACAUACCCCCAACCCAGCAUAACUUCUCCUUAUUCCAAUGAAAUGCUAGAAAAUAAUCCCGUGCACAACCGCCAACCAACUGACAGAGAAAAUGGCUUUAGAACCCAACACAAGCCAUCAUGCAGAGCUAUAAGCAUAAUGGCAAGGCUGCAUUUUAUGCUCUUUUCUAGAUUCAUCAUGAUAAUGUUAAUGGCUGACCCAUAUCAAAAGAUUUUCUUCCAAUGUUUCAACCAUUAUAAGUUCUGCAUACCCAUACAGGAUACCAAAUCCACAUAGUCAUCCUUCCUGAAAGCACAUUACAGAGCAGAACUUUUCAACUUCAUCUUCUUCUUCUUCUUCUUCACCUUUUCACCUCUUCAUUUAGGCCAAGGGGCUCCCAAAUUCCAAUUUUCCAUAGCCCCACAUAAAAGUCCUGAAGUUAACAUGCAUCUACAACAUAUUUCUAAGACAUGAUCACAAGAAAUCCAGAACAAAUGAACCUAUUCUGAUAACCAGAACCCUCACGACUAACUAGCAGCAAAAUGCCAGUCCCUAUUCUGGAAUAUGAGGCCUUAUAUCCUAAACUUGUACUUUCCACCACUGCAAGGACACAAGUAACUGAAAAUUCAUUAUUUUUUUCUCUGGGACUUCAUUAACAGGGUGUCAAAGGUUGAGAGAAUGCAAACCAUUACCACAAAGUAUGACAGAAGCUUGACCAGACAAUCUCACCUGAUGUAAUAAAAUGAGAUCACUAAAAGAAUGCUUACUAGGUCUCUGAAAAAGCAAAUUAGUAAGUUCAAUGAAAAAGGGAAGACGUGUUCAUGACGUAAAACACAGACCUGCCGCAUACAAAGCACUUUAAAAUACCAGCUUUUCUUCCUUGCUCCAUGAAUUUAUUUCUUUUUAUCUGCGUCUCGUUAAUUUGUUUGAGAAACUUGAAAAAUGCAUUUUGCACCAGCUGCUUGAACUCCUCAGAAUUUUCUGGCGGCUCAGAUUUUGCUAGAGGAAGAUGAUCUCCCAAGUCGUCUCCAUCAUGAUAGUGAACACCUCCAUCUGGAUCAUUUUGCUUACUGGUUUCUGUGGUAAAACUCGCAUCUUUUAUCCAUGGAAGUGUAUGCACACGCUUCUUUGAUAGUGGAGGCUCUAACCGCUUCUUUAUGGAAGGUUUAUACUUCACCAACCGCUGUGAAACAUGAAGUUUCUGAGUUGGUCCCAGCCUCUUUUUUAUAUCUCUAGAGUCCGAUUUCUGGGGUUUGAUUGAGUGAUGUGACUGGAAAUCUGAAGAGGGUGGUUCAUCACUGCACAAACCGCUUGACAUUCUCCAUGUUUUCUCAUAGUCAGAUCUGCUUGAUUUGGGCCUCUUCGAAAAAUGUAAAAGAUCAAUUUCAUCUUCUAUGUCUACUUGAUUGUAAAUCCUACGAGCUCCAUUUCCAUCAGCAGAAAUCCUAAUUCCAAUAUCAUGCUCAUACGACAUUUCAUCCCUAACAAGUUUGUCCCUCAGACUCCUCUCGCAGGAUUCAACCAAGCUCAUGUCUGCCAUAGACAACCUCUUUCUUGGGCUAUCGUAAAGUCCACCAAAAGUAGGGUCAUUUUCUCUCGAUUGCAAGGGAUCUGAAUUUUCAUAAUGAGACCAUUGACGAAAAUCCACAUCAGCAUGAUGCUUUUCCGUUUUAACACCUCCGAAGCCAUAAUAUCCUUCUGCUCCAUAAUUGAGGCAACUACUUUCAGUACCCAAAGUAGUAUCCACAUCUUCCCUUCUCAAAUGGAGUGAUCCAUGCACAUCAAAUUUAUCAGGUGUUGAUUGCACUUGAAAAGAAGGGUAUUGGUUCCACGGUCCAUCAUCUUCCAUUUGUUCUUUACGAGAACAUGCAUCAACGUUACGCUUCAAGGCAUCAAUUCUUGAUAUAUGCUGGUCUCUGUAGUCUUCUUCGACAUCAUUGACCCUUCCACUUAUACUGUCUAUUUUGCUUCUACCGAAUUCGGCAUAUGACCAAUCACCCUGUCUAUUCUCGGGUAUCCCAACAUAUGAAUGAGAACCACUUCUUUUAUCAUCUAAUUGACAUCCAGGUUCUGCGAGUAACAUGUUCUGCUUCAUUUCACUAUGUCCAUCAAAGCGAAUUGGCUGAGAGGUCAGUCUACUCCCUCGUUGGAUAACAUCUGAUGAUGGCAUAUGAAGCACUCUGGUAGGAGAAUAACCAGAAAAGCCCUCUCUUGAGAUGCCCGAAGGCACAGGAUCGUAGUCCUUAUGCUGAGAUGUUGAUACCAUAUAGUCAGAAUCGCCCUUCAAGUAACCACGAGAAGUCAAGAGGUUGUCUUUCUCCUCGAAUUUGUAUAUUUCACUCUCUACUGUUUUCCCUACUCCCUGAUACCUAUCCUGGUAAUGCAAGCUCCCACUUUUUUUUUCGAAAUAAUUAUCUUCUCGAUCAUUCAAUCCAUGCUUUCUCUCCAAAUGAGGUUCAUCCCGAAAAUGAAAAUAUCGUUUUCUGUUAGCAUCACCAUUCAAAUAAUCCGAUGCAACAUAAGACAUGUGGCCGCCACCAUCACCGCCACUUAAAUUACCAACGGGUAGAUCAUCCACUCCACCACGAGCCAAUGCAUACGAAUCAGAGUGCAUCUUACCUCUGUUCUCAUACUUUAAGGAAACAGGCACGCUGCUAUCCAAAUACUGCGAUACUGGCAAUCCAGCCCGACUAGAAUCCAAGUAAUGAUUUUGCAGAUGAUAAUCUCUGUCACCGCUGCUAGUGACAUUCACAUCACCAACACCAUUGGAGCCACGAGAGAUGCCGUAAUCCUUCCAGCUGAGGUUAUCAGAUUUUCGGGAUCCAUCCAAAGGCGGAUCCCACUUCAAUUUCAUCGAACUCAAAUCACCACGAUACGAAUCCUCAUGGUAUGAUCUCCUCGAAACCCCAAGACUGACCUCAUUAUCAUAAUCACCUUUGGCUCCAUCUCCAUAAUUAGACAAAUUCACAGCCCUAUCCCUAUCCCUAUCCCUAUCAAAAUUAACCUUCUCGAUUCUCAGCGGGCUCCGGAAUCUCCUACCACCAUUCUUGUACCUAUCUCUAUCAUCAUACUCAGAAAAUCUUGAAACCCUAUCCUCAAAAUGAUCUCUAUCUUCAAUCCUCCGCGAUGGCAUAGCCUCCCCUGGAUAUUCUUCUAUCUCACGCCGUCGAUAUGGCGACGGCUUCCAAUUUCUCGGAGGAUUAAAAUCCCGUGACCUCGGCGGCGGGCGCCGAGGCGACGGCGAACGGCCGAUUGAACCCGCUCGAUAUCGCCUCCCCCCAAUCAUCUCAGUAAAUCGAUAACAAAAACAUACAAAGCCACCGCCAAUCAACUAAAUUUCGAUUCAACAACGCAGUAGAAAGUCACAAAUAACUCUAGCAACCCGAAAACCUAGUAUACCAUGAUCGUAAUGAUAGGAGCAAGAAAAACAAACAUAAUCGGCGAAAUCCUGAACCUUAGAACCCUCAUAAACCCGAAAUUAUUCAACAAAUCAAAAGGAAAAUCCAACCUUCCAGUUUCGGGGCGUCAUGUCUACGGCGCGAUUCAAUCUGAUACGGUUAUAGAGAUUCGAGCGCAGUUAUUGUGAUGUUUGGGAAAAUCAGUCUCUAGCGAAAGAUUUUUUUCACUUUUAUUUUAUUUUUGGGAGAAUAAAAGCGAAUGAGAUUAGAUCUUCAAUUUUGUAUAUUUUGGUGUUUUUUAACUCCGACAUUCAAUUAUACUUGUCGAUUACUUUGUAAUCUUGAAUUGAGAUUUGUAUUUGAAAAAUAAAUUAUAUAUAUGACGCCGUUGAUUAAAAUUUUAUGAUUUUUUCUUUUACUUACUCAAUAUUUUAUGCUUUAUUUAAUUAGUGGAUUCAAUUUUGCAUCUAAAGGUGUGUGCAUCGAAACGCAAUCUAUAUAUUAUAAAGACCGGUUAAACGGUCAUUUUUCCCGCCACCUACCUCUCCAAAUUUUAAAUUUUCAAAUUAAUAGGUGUCAUUUUUUUCGAAAAUAACUGUCUUAAUAUCAUAAAUACAAUUAUUUAAUCAUAACACAUUCAAUGUAUCCGAGUUAUUUAAUUAACUCCCACUAACUCCCAACCAUAACUGUCUGAAUCAACGAAUUUUAAAACAAAAUAAAUAAUUUACACAAUUUACAAAUCUAUUACAGUUAUUUAGUUAAAUCCUAUCCAUAACUGCAGCAGUUACUCCAUAAUUUUAUAAAACAAAAUAAAUAAUUUACACCAUCUAUAAAUAUAACCUCACAAACUAUCACAAUACGAAUUCCACCUAUCACAAUACGAAUUCCAUAGCAAAAAAACCAAUCUCCACAAAAAUCAUUCUCAUUUUUUCAUUUUACGUUGAAAUGGCUCCUUUGUUCGGCGUCAUCAAGGAAUUGGAACCGGGAAAGAGCAAGAUCGCAUUGCAAUUGCGCUUGAUAAGAAGUUAUGACAUCUUCAAGUUCAACAACAGAUCUGAAACAUUUUCUCAUGAGUGUGUGUUCCAUGAUAAAGAGGUACUCACUCAAUACACUAUUUUUUUAUAUUUUCGAAAAUUUCAAAUAUCACACUAAAAUUUUUGUUUAUUUUUAAGGGCGAUCGAAUCCAUGCCACAAUUAAUACUUCAUCACUACAGCAAAUUAAGCCACUCAUCACAGAAGGACAUGUUUAUGCAAUCAAGGAUUUUGUUAUCACCAACAACACCAUGAAAUACAAAACCACAGAGUCACAAUAUAAGCUUUUAUUGUUCAAGCACACAAGAGUUGUAGAACUCGAUGAUGAUACAUUCCCAAAUCACAAUUCAACAUAAAAUUUUGGAGAAAUUUCUUCAUUUCUGACGUCCAGAAUGUGUCAUGUUUGGUAAAAACUUUUUAGCCAUUUUAUUUUAAUUAUUAAUAUCUUAGAAUUUUAAUUUAAAUUUAUAUUGUAGAUAUCAUGGGAAUGUAGUUUCAAGUUAUCAGCCAAUAAUCAAAGAUUUCAAUGGACAACAAACAAAGCUUAUGGAUAUCAUCAUAGAAAUUUGGAGUAAUAUUUAUUAUCUUUCAAUUAUGUUAAUUGCAUAAAUAAAAUACCUCAAUAUAUGUAAUGACUAACCUAAAUUGUAUUUAAUUGCAGGGGAAAGACUAUACAUGCACACUUUGGGAACAGUAUGCAGAUAAAAUGCAUGAAUAUCUGUGCACAGAUCAAAAAUGCCAAUAUGUAUCAUAGUACAAUUCUGUCGCCCAUCUAUAUUCAGAGGUAGAAAAAUAAAAAAUUAUUAUCAUUAUCUAUUAUCUAUUUGUGCUAAUACAUUUUGGUUUAUGAAAAGGUAAGUUUGUAUAUCAAGUUCAUAUCAUGUGUAAACAUACUUUUUGAUGAAAAAUUGUUGAAAUCAAGAAGAUGAAGGACAAGUAAGUAUUUUAAAAAUAAAAAUUAAUUGCAUCGGCAUACAUUAUUGUUCACAUUAUUUCAAUUGAGUUUUAUCAAACUUCACAAGGAAAAUCAAUCAAUCUCAAGUUAUUGGCAGCACCAACAAUUAGAACAAUUGAAGAUGAAAUAAAUGAAGGCAGUGCAAAAUUCAUGGCUAUUUCAGAGUUGACUGGUCAACAGGUUUAAUAUUAAUAAUUUUAUAUUUUUUAAUAUUAAAUUUUCGAAACAUUUAAAUAAUAUAUUUUCGUGUUUUUUAAGAGGGGAAUGUACUGGAUAUAUGGCACAAUUGUUCUGUAUCAAGCUUCGAGCUUGGGCUUACUUAGCAUGCAACAUAUGACCUAAAAAAACUGAAAGCAAAUGAGAUAAAUUUUUUUGGACAAUGUGCAAGUUUGAUGUUUCAGGAAAAAUGAGGUAAAUCCUUUAAGAUAUUUAGGAAAAUACUAUUGUUUAUGACUUACUAACAUGUUAUCUAAUAAAAAAAUAGGUAUAGACUAAGAGUAUAUGUUGCUGAUAAUUCUGGAGGUGUUUCUUUAAGCUUAUGGGAUAGGAGUGCUUACAACUAAUUGGGAAACCUGCGAAGAAAUAAUAUAUGUAAGUGAAUGCAAAAUAAAAUUAUAAAUAAAAUUAUGGAGAUAAUUCUAAAGUUAUUAAUUUAAAUUAAAAAUUUUGCAGGAUCCUAAUAGCAAUGAGUUGCCAAUUGAGAUAGAUGCUAUCACCAACAAAAAUGCUCUAUUUAAAAUUAAAGUUGAAGAAUCAACGAUUUUUGAUGGAGCAUAUGUUGUGACAAAAAUCAACUGCGACCCAAAUAUUUUAAAUAAAUAUUGUGGGUCAAUAGUUGAAAGGAGACCAAGGAAACUCAAUUGAAAGAAAAGAAAUUGGAAACAUUAAGGUAUUGAUUAAAUAAAUAUUAUUUGUAUAAGCAUUAUUAUAAAUAUGAAUCAGUUCAAAAUGAGGUGGGAUAUGUUUACCAUGUGACAGAAAUAGUGAGUAAUUUUUAGAAAGUGGCCUACAAUUGUUGACCAAAUUAGUAAGUAAUUUUGACAUUUUUAGAAAGUAGCCUACAAUUGUUGACCAAAUUAGUGAGUAAUUGUUGACUUAAUUAAAGUAAACUUUUGCCAUUUUUAGAAAGUAGCCACUUUUAAUGGGACACCCAAAAAGAAAAUGUGGCCACUUUUAUUAGGACAGAGGGAGUAUAUAGAUUGGUCUUGUUUAGGGCAAGGCCCAAACUCUUUCUCCUUCUUUUUAAAACACAUACUCACACACACACAAACACUCACACACACGCAGCUGCUGCUGCUGCUGCGCAGCAGCCUCCCUCUCGCCCCCUUCUCUCCUCCGGCGGACGGCAGCAGCGCCGUCCUCCGGCCGCCGCCGCCGCCGUCGUCAUCCCUGACUUCCCUCUCCCUCGCCCUUGCUCUCUCUUUCUUCAUCACCUCCCCACACGCACACUCACAUACUAAAAAUGUUCUCGCCUCCUCCCUCAAAAUUUUCCGGCGACAGCCACCACCACCAUGGCCGCCGCCGCGUGCUCCGCUCCCUCGACGGCUGGAGAGCCGUCGCCGCCCCUUUCUCCCUCUGAAAACCCCAGCCCCAAACUCACUGACAACCCUCAUCUCCUUCUCUCGACUUCGGCAACCGUAGCAGCCGGUGAGGCCAGCCGCCGCCGCUCGAAUUUCAGACGACGGCGCCGCCUCUCUCCUGCAUUUUGUCGGACGGCCACCGCACCCCAGCCCCUGUCUCCCUCUCUCCCACCGUCUCCAGCCCGGCAGCAGCGGCAGAGCCGCCGUGCCGUCCCUCCCUCCGUCAUGCGGCCCUCUCUCUCUCUCCUCUGUGCACUCUGGCGCCUCCUCCUCUCCUACACUUGGCCGGAUGGCCGGCAGCGAGCUCGCCGCCAUCCAGACGCCGCUCGACUCAGCCCACCACACAUACGAUACCAACAACAAAAAGGGAAAAACAUAGUUCUACUUCUUCUCUUUUCUUUUCAAAAGUUAUGCAAAUCUUAAAUAUGUAUUUUGUAUAAACGAUUGAUUAAAUGAACUCAGUGAAUGUAUGAAAAUGUAUGAAUGCGCGUGAAUCUCUAUUGGGUAGUUGUGAGAUUUCAUGUAUUGUUCAUUUGUGAAAUGGAACCAACAAAGUUCAAAAGAUGGAACCUUUUUGAGUUUCAAGUUGCUCCAGUCUGAAAUUUCAAGUUGCUUGAUCUGAAAUGUGUGCUGCUUUGAUUUGUUUGGUGGCUCUGCACUUGUAUCCUUGUGUGAGGUAGAAGUUGAAGUUGUUGAAUGGUGAAAGAAUUGAAAUGUUGAAAAUGGUUUCAGCAAAGGUGUGUUGGGGAUUUAGCAGCCUCUUUAGGCUGGGCGGCUAGUAAGUAGGCUGGGCGGCUAGUAUGUAGGGUGGUGUAUAGGUUGGGCGGCUAGUUGAUUGGACAAUUAAAACUUCAGGGUUAAAUUAUGAGAACUGUAAAAUUCUUCAGGGUUCGCGAAUUAAAAACUCGAGUAAAUGCUUGAAUGCUUAAUUAAAUAAAUAUGCUAUGCAUAUAAUUUAAAUAAAAAAAUUUCAAAUACUCAUUUUUGUAAAU
rnacentral:lncRNA from 1 species